AUAAAUAUUCUUUAAUUAAUGUAUUAAUUAAAGAUUCUUUAAUUAAUGUAUUGAUCUAGCUACUAAUUUUUUCGAAUAAGUAAUUCAAUACUUUAUAUAAGACUCUUACCAAAUUUGCCAAAAACUGUGACAUGUACAUACAUAUCGUAUUUGUCCUGCUCAGAUUAUAUGUAAUUCUUCCAAAUCAUUUAAGACAAGAAGAACUAUGGACGGAAGAAAAUUAAACUAACUUGAAUCUGUUAAUUUUUCUUACUUUUCUUCAAUUGAGUUGUCUUAGUGUGAAAGAAUUGUAUAACAAAAUUAAAAAUAAUAAAGAAAACACGCAAUGAAAGAGCAUUAGAUUUAAGAUUACUGGGACUCUCUUUGCUUAACUAAUUGAAGUUGAAGCUAAUCACAACCACUUUUCAAAUCAAAAUGAAACAAUGUUAACACGGUCUUUUUGUUUGACAAUCGAGACAUUUUUUCAAGUAAC
rnacentral:lncRNA from 1 species